rnacentral:rRNA from 1 species
GACGAACGCUGGCGGCGUGCUUAACACAUGCAAGUCGAACGGAAAGGCCCUGCUUUUGUGGGGUGCUCGAGUGGCGAACGGGUGAGUAACACGUGAGUAACCUGCCCUUGACUUUGGGAUAACUUCAGGAAACUGGGGCUAAUACCGGAUAGGAGCUCCUGCUGCAUGGUGGGGGUUGGAAAGUUUCGGCGGUUGGGGAUGGACUCGCGGCUUAUCAGCUUGUUGGUGGGGUAGUGGCUUACCAAGGUUUUGACGGGUAGCCGGCCUGAAAGGGUGACCGGCCACAUUGGGACUGAGAAACGGCCCAGACUCCUACGGGAGGCAGAAGUGGGAAUUAUUGCACAAUGGGCGGAAGCCUGAUGCAGCAACGCCGCGUGCGGGAUGACGGCCUUCGGGUUGUAAACCGCUUUCGCCUGUGACGAAGCGUGAGUGACGGUAAUGGGUAAAGAAGCACCGGCUAACUACGUG